rnacentral:rRNA from 1 species
GGCAAACUGCGAAUACCGGAGAAUGUUAUCACGGGAGACACACGGCGGGUGCUAACGUCCGUCGUGAAGAGGGAAACAACCCAGACCGCCAGCUAAGGUCCCAAAGUCAUGGUUAAGUGGGAAACGAUGUGGGAAGGCCCAGACAGCCAGGAUGUUGGCUUAGAAGCAGCCAUCAUUUAAAGAAAGCGUAAUAGCUCACUGGUCGAGUCGGCCUGCGCGGAAGAUGUAACGGGGCUAAACCAUGCACCGAAGCUGCGGCAGCGACGCUGAUGCGUUGUUGGGUAGGGGAGCGUUCUGUAAGCCUGUGAAGGUGUACUGUGAGGUAUGCUGGAGGUAUCAGAAGUGCGAAUGCUGACAUAAGUAACGAUAAAGCGGGUGAAAAGCCCGCUCGCCGGAAGACCAAGGGUUCCUGUCCAACGUUAAUCGGGGCAGGGUGAGUCGACCCCUAAGGCGAGGCCGAAAGGCGUAGUCGAUGGGAAACAGGUUAAUAUUCCUGUACUUGGUGUUACUGCGAAGGGGGGACGGAGAAGGCUAUGUUGGCCGGGCGACGGUUGUCCCGGUUUAAGCGUGUAGGCUGGUUUUCC